rnacentral:lncRNA from 1 species
GGUCUCCAUAGGGAAUGGAAGUGCUGCUGGCCACUGAACAGUCCCAAGCCCACAAAUGCUCACCACAAACGUUACUAUUUAAAUCCAGAAGAGAAGGCAGGUGCUUCUUGAUAAAACCAGGGCAGAGUUACAUGGUGUGGAGGAAAAGGGUGGGCUUGAGUUUCUGGCAAGCUCCAUAUGUAAGGGUUAAAAUCACCUGAGGUGAGGGACUCUAAGAGGCGCAGUGCUCAAACCUCCACUUGUACUGACUGUGUGACCUUGAGCAAGUGAUUUCAGCUCUCUGAGCUUCCGAGCUCUGAAGGCCCAGUUAGAUGAUACACCUAGAACACGCCUGGAACGAGAGCGGGUACAUGGCAAACACUAAGGAAGAUCUAGCUACGGUGAUUGCAGUGUCUUCUGUUUAGAGAAGAGGACUGGCUUCUCCUGCACCUGAGGCCUGGAGGGUAAAGCAGAGGAGCAGAAGCAAUAAACAUGGCUUUCUCGUGAGCUCUUCCCUCUGCCUGGAACACCAUUCCCACCACCCACCACCAUGGUCCGUCUCCCCUUACUGGCUUAAGAGAGUCGCUUCCCUGAAGAGGCCUCCCCAGUUCCCUGGCCCAGAUGUGGAAGCCAUUUUGCACCAUGAGCGGAGACACUCC